GACGAACCGUGCAAACGUUGUUCGGAAUCACUGGGCUUAAAGGGCGCGUAGGCGGUCAGCACAAGUCAGUUGUGAAAUCUCCGGGCUUAACUCGGAAAGGUCAACUGAUACUGUGCGACUAGAGUGCGGAAGGGGCAACUGGAAUUCUCGGUGUAGCGGUGAAAUGCGUAGAUAUCGAGAGGAACACCUGCGGCGAAGGCGGGUUGCUGGGCCGACACUGACGCUGAUGCGCGAAAGCCAGGGGAGCGAACGGG
rnacentral:rRNA from 1 species